ACAGGGAUUGCCCUAGUAACGGCGAGUGAAGCGGCAACAGCUCAAAUUUGAAAUCUGGCCUCCUUUGGGGGUCCGAGUUGUAAUUUGCAGAGGGUGCUUUGGCGUCGGCAGCGGUCUAAGUUCCUUGGAACAGGACAUCACAGAGGGUGAGAAUCCCGUACGUGGUCGCCUGCCUUCGCCGUGUAAAGCCCCUUCGACGAGUCGAGUUGUUUGGGAAUGCAGCUCUAAAUGGGAGGUAAAUUUCUUCUAAAGCUAAAUACCGGCCAGAGACCGAUAGCGCACAAGUAGAGUGAUCGAAAGAUGAAAAGCACUUUGGAAAGAGAGUCAAACAGCACGUGAAAUUGUUGAAAGGGAAGCGCUUGCAGCCAGACUUGCUCGCAGUUGCUCAUCCGGGUCCGCCCGGAGCACUCUUCUGCGAGCAGGCCAGCAUCAGUUUGGGCGACCGGAUAAAGGCCUCUGUCAUGUAUCUUCCUUCGGGAUGACCUUAUAGGGGAGGCGUAAUGCGGCCAGCCCGGACUGAGGUCCGCGCAUCUGCUAGGAUGCUGGCGUAAUGGCUGUAAGCGGCCCGUCUUGAAACACGGAUCAAGGAGUCUAACAUCUAUGCGAGUGUUUGGGUGUCAAGCCCGGGCGCGUAAUGAAAGUGAACGGAGGUGGGAACCCUCUUCGGGGGGUGCACCAUCGACCGAUCCUGAUGUCUUCGGAUGGAUUUGAGUAAGAGCAUAGCUGUUGGGACCCGAAAGAUGGUGAACUAUGCUUGAAUAGGGUGAAGCCAGAGGAAACUCUGGUGGAGGCUCGCAGCGGUUCUGACGUGCAAAUCGAUCGUCAAAUUUGGGCAUAGGGGCGAAAGACUAAUCGAACU
rnacentral:rRNA from 1 species